rnacentral:misc_RNA from 1 species
UUGGGGAUUUGAACCACCCAAUUUCAGCCACCAUGAGUGAUGUUACGUGUUGUCUUUGUUUCCCGAUCAGCUCAACUCAGACCUUUGCAAGCUUGCUGUGAACCUCAUUCCAUUCUCUCGGCUUCAUUUUUUAAUGCUUGGUUUUGCACCUCUCAUGUCUCGAGGUUCCCAGUAAUAUCGUGCCGUCACUGUAGCAGAACUCACCCAACGAUUGUGGGA